ensembl:lncRNA
GCAAGUGAGUGCGUCACAACAGGUAUGUAUGGGUUUGGUAUAAAUUACUGGCUUUUACCAAUGACGUCUGAUUGUCCAGAGACAGCAAACAAGGCCGUGGUCCUGCCACAAGCUGACAUGUGUUGUGGACAUGUUGUCAAGUCUGCAAUGCACGCACACUUGCUAGGCAUAGGAGUGAAAAUUGGGCUUCCAUAAAGUUGAUGCAAACUUUAAUACAUUCAACAAUAUUGUGCAAGAUGGCAAGGAACAAACAUUGAUGGCUGUGACUGGUGUGAGCUAGCUAGCUACAGUGAUAUUUAAAUGUACCACAGAAGAACCAAGAAAUGAAAAGCAACGCCAUGGCUGACUUUUUUUGAGCUUUUAUGUAGAUCUGCAAUUAUAUUAUGAAAAGAGAAGACCGGAAGAUCAUCAGUCUCCAAUGCACCAUCUGACAAGUUGUUCUAUAGAGGAGCGAGAGGAAAGCAGUGUCGGCGGGAACCCCUCCAACCAUAUCAGGAGUAGAAGGCUGCGGCAGACCUUGGCAAGGCAACAGACACAUUUCAGAUGGAGGACGGGAGAGAUGGUUUGUCAUGGAGUCCCCUGACUGACUAACCGACAGGUUGAUACAGAUGGAGUCCCCUGACUGACUAACAGACAGGUUGAUACAGAUGGAGUCCCCUGACUGACUAACAGACAGGUUGAUACAGAUGGAGUCCCCUGACUAACAGACAGAUUGAUACAGAUGGAGUCCCCUGACUAACAGACAGAUUGAUACAGAUGGAGUCCCCUGACUAACAGACAGAUUGAUACAGAUGGAGUCCCCUGACUGACUAACAGACAGGUUGAUACAGAUGGAGUCCCCUGACUAACAGACAGGUUGAUACAGAUGGAGUCUACUGACUAACAGACAGGUUGAUACAGAUGGAGUCUACUGACUAACAGACAGGUUGAUACAGAUGGAGUCUACUGACUAACAGACAGGUUGAUACAGGAUACAUGGUUUGUCAUGGAGUCCCCUGAAACAGAUGUCUGAACUAGAGACCUUGCUCUCAGCAUUACAAUGAUACUAGUACUUGUCAUCAUCUUCUGUUAUUAUUG